rnacentral:lncRNA from 1 species
AGAAAUCAUAAAGGGAAUACUGUUGGAUUAUAACACAUUAAAUUAAAAUCUAACAUGCAGCCUGGUACUCAGUGUUAAUUAAGGAUGUGAAGAAACAAUCUCUUUCAUUCACUGCUUGAGGGAAUGAUAAUCUCACACACUUUCUGGAACGCACUUAUGUUUCAAAAGCUUUACAUUUCAUAUAUACUUUAGAAAUUCGUCUAUAUGUGACAAUGACAGUAGUAUGCAAAAAUGUAUUAACCGCAUCACUGUUUAUGACCAAAAAAGUGAAAGUGAUGUAAAUAUCCAAUUUAGGAGUAGGUGAAAAAGCAGUUAUAAAAUAUUAAUGUGAUGCAAUUCUAUUUUGUUUAAAGAUACUGGUCUCUGUGUGUUUAACUUAUGGGAGGACUAGAAGGAAAAUGUUUUGUUGAACUACAACUUGAGUCCAUAUACCUAGUAGAUCUGUCUGCUAGUUUCCGUUACAUUCUAUAUUCGUUUAUUCAGUAUUCACUCAUUCAUUCUAUAUUUAUUUGUCCGAUAACUCUUGCCCUUCUAGAUGCUAAUAUGUCAUCUGUCACAAUUCCACAGCAAAAGUACUAUGGAAAAAGAUGGGUCUGCUUUAUUCACUGAAAAAUUAAAGAACACUUCAAAAAGGAACUGAUACUUGAGUUUAUUCAUUGUUCAUUCAAGAAAUAUACUUAUUGAGCACUUGCGACAUGCUAGUCACUGUCCUUUGUGCUUGCAACAAAUCAGUGAACCUUAAAAACAAAAACACAACAUACUCCUGUUCUUAUGAUGUAAUCUUGAGAGAUGGUGAUUGUUUCAUCAAACAGAAAAAAAAAAAAAAAGGAUGAGACGGUAUUCCAAGUAGAGAAAGCCACACUUGACUUUAUUUAUUUCACAAUAGUUAUCAAUUUAUUUGUGUGAUUCUCCCACUGGACUCUAAGUUCCUUAAGAAAGGAACUCUGGCUUGUACUGCUGUAUCUCUGAUGCCAAACAUUGUUCCAGACCCAUAAUAGGCACACAGUAAAUAUUUUUGAAUAACUAAUACUAUACUUCAUUCCCUAGAACAGAGUUUCUUGAUGUUGGCAUUAUUGGCAUUUGAGGCCAGAUAAUUAUUUGUUGUGGGUGUCUACCCUGUGCAUUGUAGAAUGUUUAGCUGCAUCACUGGAUGCUAGCAUGCAGCUAGAUGCCAGCAGUACCUCUCCUGCCUGUUAUCAAAACCAAAGAUGUUUCCAGGCAUUUUCAAAUGUCUGUGGGGUCCAGAAUCACCCCUAUCUGUAGAGAAUCACUGUCCUAGCACUGUGAAAUUAAGUGAAAACUAUGGAACAAUUCCAGUGAAUAUAAUGUGGAAAUCGGGAAGAGUAGAAUGAGACUUUCUUUUCAGUUACUUUGAGUCUUUUAUUAGAGGCAUUGUAUUUUAUUUUUUGUCCAAGCACUCUUAAUUCUAUACUGUUUGUUGAUUCAAUUCCUAUACUGACUACCGUGCUUGUGAGAGAUGGGGACAUCACAUGUAAAGAUGAGCGAUGUCUGCAUUUAACCCACCUUGCUGGUCACAUCCCUAGUGGUACUGCAACUUUGUUUUGUUUUCAAAAGAAAGGAGGAAAGACUUUAAGAUGUUGCUUUUAUCAAAUAAAUAAGCUAGUGUUUUUUCAAGAAAUUUUAGACACACUCUAAGACAAAACUCCUAAUGCAGUUUUUUAAUACCUUUUAUAAUGUAGGAUUUUUUAAUACCUAAUAUUUCAUCUUGAAUUGCAAUCCCCAGAUGUUGAGGGAGAGACCUGGUGGGAAGUGACUGCGGUUUUCCCCCUGCUGCUCUCGUGAAGGUCAGUGAAUUCUCGCGAGAUCUGAUGGUUUUAUAAAUGGAAGUUUUUCCUGCCGCUGACACAUGCAUUUCCCUGCUGCUAUGUGAAAUGUGCGUCUUCUCCUUCCGCCAUGAUUGUAAGUUUCCUGAGGCCUCCUCAGCCAUGCGGAACUGUGAGUCAGUUAAACCUCGUUUCUUUAUAAGUUACUCAGUCUCGAGAUGUCUUUAUAGCAGUGUGAGAAUGGACUAAUACAAUAGCUAAAUAAUGCCUUAGAAAUCAAUAUUUAAUUCUUAGUUUUUGAAACUUUACCGCGUAACUUUUUCAUGGAUGCACUAAUCAUGUCUGAUCUCCGUUUUCUCUUCAUUUUGUAAUCUGAAAUGAUUCACAUAUAAAAGAUGCAUAUAUUGUAUAUAUAUCUAUAUGUCAGUGAAAUAAUAAAAUGAAUACCCAUGUAUCCAGAGCCCAGCUUACCAACAUUUGGUAUUGCUUGGCUAUUUUAAUUUUUGCCAUUUUGAAGUGUGUAUAAAGAUAUUUCAUUUAAAAAUUUUUAUUUUCUUUAUUACUGUUGAAAUUGAACAUCUUUCAGUAUACUUUAUCUAUUUAUAUUUUCUCUCUGAAAGCUCUGUUCACAUUUAUUGCACAUUUAAAAAUUUUUUGUGUCUUAAAAAUGAGUAAGAAUUACUUAUAUCUGUAUAUUCUAGUACUAAUCUUCAGGGUUUCAAGUGUGUAUUUGUGUGUCACAAAUAUACUAUUAGAGAUUGUGUCUUCUAUUUUCACUUUCUUUGUGGUAUCUAUUAAUAAAGUUCCUGAUUUUAAUGUAAUCAAACACAUCAAUGUUUGUCAUUUUAAACAAUUAUUGAGAUUUAAAGGAAGGCUUCUUGCCCCAGGGUCAUGAAAAUAUGUUUAUAUUUUUUCUUACAGUGCUUUUGCUCUUACACUUAAGUCUUUAAUCUCAUCUGGCAUUGAUUUUGUACAUGGUGUGAGGUUUAACUUUUUUCCAUUGGCCUACUACUAGCUCAGUGAGGCCUACCCUAAUUACCCAGGGUAAAAUCAUAACUUCUUCACCCACCCUGGGACAUCCCCCUUUACCCUGCUUUAAUUGUCUCUCGAGCACUUCUUGCCACCUGUCACAUUCAUGUUCUAUGUUUCUUGUCCCAGUACCAUUUAUUUGAGUUGCCCCCUCCUUUCCAUACUGACCCCCUUUCCCACCUCAGUCAAACAUCAAGUAUAGAUGCUGUUAUCUGGACUCUGUAUUCUGGCUCAUGAUCCAAAUAUUUCAUUGUUUAUCUCUGUGUAAUCACCACAUUGUCUUAAUAACUGCACUGCUAUAAUGGUCUUAAUAUUAUAGGGCUAGUCCACCACCUCAUUCUGCAGAAGUGACUUGGUUAUUUGUGAUUGUUUAAACUUCUAUCAAAUAUUGGAAAUAGUGUUUCUAGUUCCCUGACAAACCCUGCUAAAAAAUUUUUACUGAAACUCCAUUAAAUCAACUUGGUGACAAUUGUCACAUUUAAUAUAUUCAACCUCCAGCACAGUGAAAAUGGUACCUUUCCCUAAUUAAUUAGGUCUUUUUAAAAAAAUUAUUUAAGCAAAGCUUUAGAAGUUUCUUCAUGAAAGUCUUGUAACUUUUUGUUAGAGUUAUUCAUAGAUUACUUUUAAUAUUUACAUGUGGUAAAUAUUUAUUUUUAAACUAUAUUACCUAUUUGUUGCUAGUGUAUGGAAAUACAAAGGAUUUCUAAUGUUAUAAAAAUAGUAUUAUUAACUAAGUUAUUAAUUCUAAUAAUUAGCCAGAAGAUUCUUUUGAAUUUUGUAUGAGGACAUAACAAUGCAUUCAAGUAAUGAUAAUUUUGUUUCUUACUUUCCAUCUCUAGUAUUGUUUAUUUUCUUCCAUCCUUAGAGUUUGAUCUAAUAAGUUCAGUACCUUAUUGGACAGAAAUGUUGAUGGUGAGCAUCUCAAUCUUGUUCAUGCCAUAUCCUGCAAGUCUUCAUGCAAGUGUCGUCUUCUUAGUGAGGCCUAACCUAUCCCCCAUUUAAAAUUGCAAAUUCCCAAACAUUCUGGGCCUUCCUAGUCCUCUUUAACUGUUUUAUAUUUCUCUGUAGCGAUAUUACCAUCUGACAUAGUCAUAUUUUAUGUGCUGGUUUAUUAUUUAUCUACCACCAUCAUGAGGCAUGGACUGACUUUCUACCUAAGUUAUUUUGAGCAAAUAACUGAAUGAAUAAUGUAUUUUAUACCUUAUACUGCCAAAUUAUUGUUACACAUAGUUUUUCCAUUGAUUCUCUAUGGAUUUCCAAAUGUGCUAUCCUGUCAUCUGUAAAUAAAUAAUGUAAGUUGUUCCUUUCCAAUUUUUAUGUCAUUAAUUGUUACCGCUUAUCUAAGAACAUUGAGUAAUUAGUGCCAUCAACAUAAUGUUAAUGAUUAUAGAGAUAGUGGCCAUCAUUACUCCUGACCUUACUAAGAAUUACUGUGUUUUACUACUAAAUAAAAAUCUGGCUUUACUUUA